CUCCAACCUCUCAUCCUCCGGCCAAGACUCCGGCAAAGGACCACCACACGCCAAACUUUCAAAAAAGUGCGUGGGCGAGCACGCCACUGACGUGGCGUGGUGGAGCGGCGCACGUUGCGGGGUGGUGGCGUCUGGCGCGCAAGGGAGGCGUGGGCACGAGCGGCAAUUUGCCUAGGGUUUUCUCCUUUUUGUUGAAAAAUUUUAAGUUCUUGGGCUGAAAAUUUGGGCUAGGGUUUAGUAUUUUUGGGAUUGGGCUUGAACUGGUUGUAAAAUGGACAUUUAAUAUUUUUGUUUUAUUUCUCGUUUGGUUCUAGUACAGGCUCGGGCAAAAUGGGCCUUCUACA